rnacentral:misc_RNA from 1 species
UUCUUGUUGCCAUCUAGCCUCAUGUUGUUUCUGUAGUUUUUUAGCCUGUUCUAGAUCCUGUAGUUGCUGUGCAACCUUGCGUUUUUGAGCUGCAAGUUCUUCUUGUAGAAGGGUUUUCUGCUUCUCCCAUGACUGAAACUUCAUCAGAGUCAUCUUCUCCCUCUUUGAUACUUCUUGACAGCUUGCAGCUGACUCUGCUGCACGCAAUUU